rnacentral:lncRNA from 1 species
GAGACACCCAUGUCAUUGAACAAGAGGUUCUAAUAUUACAUAACAGAGCAGGACUUAUAAAGAUACAAUGAGAAGAUGGCCUUCUGCAAACCAAGGAAAGAGACCUCAUCAGGGUAGUGGUAUGUAGCUGUAGUGGUAUGUGCUCUCUCUCAAUGCUGAGCUGCAGCUCCCAGUCAGCCACUGGAUCAUGAGGGUAAAAUACGGAUACUUGACAUCUUCUUAAAGAACAUCAUGCCUGCUAAGCCAUCCAGUUUGGAUGCCCCAGUGCCUUCCACCAGCCAUUCUCAAGCCUCAUUAGAAGAGAGAGAUUGAUGACCCUGUAGCUGCAGCAUCCCAUCAUCCUGCAUUUUAGUUCAAUGCUUCAAACGUUCUUCAGGCCCAGUGUGCUUUCAGCUGUGUAUGUUAAUUUAGAAGCAACAAUCGCAGACAAAGAGUACAACUUGUUUUUGAAGACUCAAACUGAAACACUGGCCCUUCCUGAGUCUCAAGCCUGCUGGCCUUUGGGCUGGAACUAAACCCUCAGCUCUCCUGUGUCUCCAACCUGCCCGCUCUGCCUAGUGAUCUUGGGACUUCCCAGUAGUUCCGGAGCAACAGUUCACGAUGUGAGUCUCCACACACUGCUCUGUCUGUCUGCAUGGCAGCUAGAAUCUAAUCCUGCCUCCUGUCUGCCAUGAGCCUAAAAAAGCUUCCAGAACCAGGAGACCAUAACUCUCUCUUGUUUAAGUCACCCAGUGUGUGAUGCUUUGUGACAGGCAGCCCUGGCAAAUGAAUAAGCUGCCAGGGAACAGGAACUCCCAUUGUGGAAUUCACAGAAGUGAGAAAUAAAUAUUUGGUGCAUCUCCUGCUGUUCCCAAUCUACUCAUCCUAGGAACCAACUCAGGUAUGUUUAUGAGUUUAUGGGGGUAGUUUAUCAUACAGUACUUGUAAUAU